ensembl:antisense_RNA anr-45 ncRNA
GGCUCAAGCAUUUCCAGAAGAUUCUUCAGAUCUCGAUCGAUAAAUUCGAAUACCAUGUAGAGUUUGCUGUCUGGAAAUUGAUUAAUUAAUUGUUUUAAAUUUAAAACUUAAAGGUGGUGUAGUCGAAUUUUUUAUUGCUUUAUUAGACCCAAAAUUGCCUAAAAACACUGAAUUUCAUACUGCUUGAAAACUUCUCAAAAAAAAUGUUAUUAUAGUUCAAAAAAUGGCCUGAAAUUAGUUAAAAUUUGAAAUUUGCCCGACUUGUCAAGCGGCUAGAAACUAACUUUUUUGAAAUCACCGUCAAAUUUUGAGUAUACAAUGUAAUUAUCUUGCGUUUUCAGCUCGAUUUAGGUAUUUUAAAGUCGAUGGACGGUGAGAAAAGAUUUUUUAAUUUUUAAAAUCAAAUCUCGCAGUCCAUCGACUUUAAAAUACCUAAAUCGAGUUGAAAAUGCAAGAUAAUUACAUCGUAUGCUCAAAAUUUGACGGUGAUUUCAAAAAAAAAAUAGUUUCCAACCGCUUGGCAAAUCGGUCAAAUUUCAAAUUUUAACGAAUUUUAGGCCAUUUUUUUGAGCCGUCAUAACAUUUUUUUUGAGAAGUUUUCAAGCAGUAUGAAAUUCGGUUUUUCAGACAAUUUUGAGUCUAAUAAAGCAAUUUUAAAAAUUCGACUACACCAAUUUUAACAUUUUAGUAGUUUUUCGAUUUUUUGUGGGAAAAAAUCGCAUUUUCAGCCAUUUCUCUAAUAUUUUGGCCACAAAUUCUUUUUUUCUCAUCAAAAUCAACAUAUUUUUCAUAAAUCUAGGGGAUUUUCUACUUUUUUCUCAAUUUUUCGAUUUUUUUCACUUGAAUAAUCAAAAAAUAACAUAAAAUGUAAGGUCGUUCAAUCUGAAAAUAACAUUUAUUUUUAGAAAUCCUAGAAAAAUACCUUAAAAAAGGGGAUUUUUCGAACUUUUCCGCAAAAAAAAUAUUACUUACAGAUUGAACCAAAAUUUUUAUAUCUUUUUAUCAAUUUUUAGCAAUUUUCACACCGAUUUUCCAGUAUUAUGAGUCUCAUGAAUUUUUUAAAAUUUAAAAUUUGAAACUUCAAAUUUCAAAUUAAUCAGCAAAAAAAGCCUCACUUGCGU